rnacentral:rRNA from 1 species
AUACGGAGGGUGCAAGCGUUAUCCGGAUUCAUUGGGUUUAAAGGGUGCGCAGGCGGAUAUUUAAGUCAGUGGUGAAAUCCCGGGGCUCAACCUCGGAACUGCCAUUGAUACUGAAUAUCUGGAAUACGGUUGAAGUGGGCGGAAUGUAGCAUGUAGCGGUGAAUUGCAUAGAGAUGCUACAGAACACCGAUCGCGAAGGCAGCUCACUAAGCCGAUAUUGACGCUCAGGCACGAAAGCGUGGGGAGCGAACAGGAUUAGAAACCCUAGUAGUCC